AAAUUACAUACGAUACAAGAAAAGAAGAAGAAGAAGAAACGUGGAGAACCUUAUUGUGAAGUUGCAGAGAUGGUAAAACUUUCGGCAGAGAGAACUAUAAGAGUUUCGUGUUAUGCCGUGGUACGGUAUACCUAUAACGUUCGGGAGUUGUAAAGUGAGGGAAAAUAUUUGCGGCACUUUUGCAACUGAGCUGAACAACAAAGAAAAUGAUCAAGGAUCUUGUAUGGGUCAGCAGCAAUACGAGUUUAGCCAGAGAUGUCCCCGUGGUACAGGAAUGUGCCAAGUAGAACUCCGGUGUAGUAUUGAGUACCCGAGUAUAAGGUUUUCGCAGUGUUUCGCUUGUCCGGUGUUUGGACCAGGGUUCGGGUCCGCUUUGUUGCCGAACAAGUAUCGCUUAUUUGCCGUUCUCUUUGGUACCGCUGAUGACCAGAUGGCCAAUCUCUUUCUGCCGACCGAGGUACCUCUUCUUUCCUAGUCAGGCGGUUGAACAAUGACAACAAGAGUUGCGCAGUCCGGUGGUGUCUUUACAAAGGAACUGGGACGUACGUACCUCCCGAACAAUUUAUUAAAUCGUUCACAAUCUACCAACGUGAAAGACAGCGAUAGUAACAUUCGACCGAGAAUUUCUCGUCCACGAAAAAAAUUCCCUCUCGUAUCUCACAUCACGUCCCCACACAGUCGACUUCCGCUACAACUACAUCGCCUCGAUAGCCCGAAUGAAUAUCGCGCAUGUACCGGACUGGAUAAUUACCGAUUGGUUGUCUCAAGUAGCGCGCGUUUUUUUCACCUCUAUUUCUCAACGAUGUGAAAACAAGUUCUUGCACCUUUUUUAAUUUUUGUUAUUAUUCUAUAGUUUCAACAUUUGAUCUAAUAAUACGCACGUUCACCGGUUACUCAAGGUCUUCAACAAAUUGGACUGCCUUCACUCACAAUCAGUUUGGAAAUUCACUUCUAAGGCUACCGUACGCGCUGCAUCAUCUCAUGUAUCCACAAAUUUAAUUAACCGUUUGCCCAAUUCGGUAGUGGAAUGUUUCAAUCGUGGCAAUAAGGAUCUACGUCAUCAUCAGCAUUGACUGAGGUCGUAAUCCCAAUCGACAUUGGGGCGACUUUUUCCAAGCACCAAACGGAAAGUUGGCUGACCUUUCGGUGAUUCGAUGCGCAUCGCGUGAUGAUAAUCAAUGAUUGCCCAAGUAAUAACCGCAAUGCUUAUUACCGAUUUAAUCAGCGAUAUAUUUAGCCAGGUUCUCCCACCGAUGUGGUAACGGUCAAUCCCGAUGUAAUACCACCACCACCACCACCACUUGCAUUGUACUCGAGCAUUUCAUUAGACUGGUUCCUGACUCGCUUCAGUCCUUGAUAAACUUUUAAUCCGGCACCUACGCAGUUCCAUAGAAAUAACUCCGAUUCCCCGAUACACCCUACCUACAACACCCAUGCAACGACUUUGUUUGAAGUGGUAUAUCGGUACAAGUAAUACAUAGUUCGGCUUUCCGCUGCACCACUUUCAUUCCGCGGGGUGAUCAUUAGUGCUCUACCUCGCGGUAGGUGUGUCUUUGAACUGAAGAUUUGUGAUAGAAUCUUUUUCAGACUAUACGGAUGCGAACAUUUAAUACCCGGAACCUGCGGAAUCCUAGUUGAGUGUUCUCCGCAAAACUCGUUUCAACUUCACAGCGAAUUAUGCUCACGCGCGACGAGUGCACACGUAUAUAGUUGUUGUGUAUUAUUCUCAUCGUUGUUAUCAUUAUUAUUAUUAUUAUUAUUAUUAUCACUGUUAUUUAUGAUGUGGGAAUUGCUCCGAUGCUGUACAAGAGGAUACGCCACGAAUGAGUGAACAAUUCAUUUCGACGGUUGAUUUUAGGAGCAAUCGGAAAUAGGACAUUGAAACGCGAUCGUUGAAAUCCAUUUGGUGCAAAUAUAGAUCCGGUUCGCGAUGCUGACAACGAGAGUGCGGAUAAGGUUGAUUUCGAAACUGUUAAUUUUCUUCAUCCUUCAUGCAUACGGUAACUGCGCGACUCGUGGUUUCAGCAGGGAUUUUAUCUACUUUCCCGAUCAAACC
rnacentral:lncRNA from 1 species